rnacentral:lncRNA from 13 species
CCUAUUCAAACCUCAACUUGAAUUGUAUCUCCCAGAAUCCCACAUGUUGUGGGAGGGCCCUGUGGGAGGUAAUUGAAUCAUGGGGGCCUGUCUUUCCCAUGCUAGUCUCAUGAUAAUGAAUAAGUCUCACAAGAUCUGAUGAGUUUCUCAGGGGUUUCCGCUUUUGCUUCUUCCUCAUUUUCUCUUGCCACCACCAUGUAAGAAGUGCCUUUCACCUCCCGCCACGAUUCUGAGGCCUCCCCAGCCAUGUGGAACUAUUACACAUCUGGAACUGCUGUAUCCAUUCACCACUGGCCUGAGGAUGGAGCUUAUCCAUGGAGAAGCACAGAGUGGUCUGGAAGAGGCACAGGGAAGUGGAGGUAGCCAAAGAUGGCGUUUUGCUCUUUUGCCUAGGCUGGCGUACAAUGGCCUCAUUCAUAAUGUGAGUAGGCCUCAUUCAAUCAGUAUACAAUGGUGCGAUCUCGGCUCACAAAAACCUCUGUCUCCUUGGAUCAAGCGAUUCUCCUGCCUCAGCCUCCCAAGAAGCUGGGAUUACAGGUAUGCACCACCAUGUCCCGGAUAA